rnacentral:rRNA from 1 species
CCGUUCUCAGUUCGGAUCGGAGUCUGCAACCCGACUCCGUGAAGCUGGAUUCGCUAGUAAUCGCGCAUCAGCCAUGGCGCGGUGAAUACGUUCCCGGGCCUUGUACACACCGCCCGUCAAGCCAUGGGAGCCGGGGGUGCUUGAAGUGCGUCGCCGCAAGGCGCGCCCUAGAGCAAAACCGGUGACUGGGGCGAAGUCGUAACAAGGUAGC